rnacentral:rRNA from 1 species
GACGAACGCUGGCGGCGUGCUUUAUACACGCAAGUCGAACGAUGAAGUUCCUUCGGGAAUGGAUUAGUGGCGAACGGGUGAGGAACACGUGAGAAACCUGCCUUUCAUUCUGGGAUAACACCGGGAAACCGGUGCUAAUACCGGAUACUCCAUCUUGGCGGCAUCGUCGAGCUGGGAAAAAAUUUUGAUGAAAGAUGGUCUCGCGGCCUAUCAGCUAGUUGGUGAGGUAAAGGCUCACCAAGGCGACGACGGGUAGCCGGCCUGAGAGGGCGACCGGCCACACUGGGACUGAGACACGGCCCAGACUCCUACGGGAGGCAGCAGUAGGGAAUAUUGGGCAAUGGGCGAAAGCCUGACCCAGCGACGCCGCGUGAGGGAUGAAGGUCUUCGGAUUGUAAACCUCUUUCAGUAGGGAAGAAGCGAAAGUGACGGUACCUAAAGAAGAAGCACCGGCUAACUAUGUGCCAGCAGCCGCGGUAAUACAUAGGGUGCAAGCGUUGUCCGGAAUUAUUGGGCGUAAAGAGCUCGUAGGUCGUUUGUCGCGUCGAUUGUGAAAAUCUGAGGCUCAACCUCAGACCUGCAGUCGAUACGGGCAAACUAGAGUGUGGUAGGGGAGACUGGAAUUCCUGGUGUAGCGGUGGAAUGCGCAGAUAUCAGGAGGAACACCAAUGGCGAAGGCAGGUCUCUGGGCCAUAACUGACACUGAGGAGCGAAAGUGCGGGGAGCGAACAGGAUUAGAUACCCUGGUAGUCCGCACCGUAAACGGUGGGCACUAGUUGUGGGAACCUUCCACGGUUUCCGCGACGCAGCANACGCAUUAAGUGCCCCGCCUGGGGAGUACGAUCGCAAGAUUA